UAACACUGAGACAGGAUCCGAUGUCAGAGCAGGUCUCCAGGUAGCGGGAGGUGAGCACACACAACCUUGCUGAAUUCCCAGAAGCUUCUGAGUUUGUCUCAGUGACCCUGUCACUGUGCCCAGGGAAAUGGAAAUAGAAUGCUGCCUAUAGAAAAUGCCCUCAUUUUACAGAACAGUGUCAGUGCCAGUGAGACACCCUGAUCCAGGAACAAAUGACUCUCUAUCCAGGCACAUGUGAGAUGGCUGUGCAACAGAAAAAAGGACAAGGGCUGCUGUUGCAAUGAUUUCUACUGGUAUCCAUCAGCAGUUAAUGCAGACUCACAGUUUCUGUAAUAAUCUGAGGCUUUCAAGAAUUUCCUUAUUAGGCAAAAAUCCCUUCUUUGGCUUAAAUUUGGCAGUUAAAAUAGGAAUUCAUGAGAAAUACCACUGUACUUCACUUUUCUCACCCAGAGAAAUAUAGUGAUUUUCUAUUUUUGUUUUGGGGAUUCUUUCUGGCUACUGUAAACAUAACAGCAAUUCAAAUCAUACUGACAUUUUCUUAUGUUUUGCCAUCUCUGAGAGCAUUUUUAUGGAGUUAGAGAGCUUGUUAAUCUAUGUGUCAUACAAAAAAAGAGAUCAAUCAUUAUAUGUAGUCUAGUUUCUGUUUGCAUUUCCUGCUGACUUAUCUCCUCUUGAGCCUGGGCUUGCAACAGCUGCUGUAAUAGGCUUGUUACCCAUAACCUACAUCUACACUUGCCUGACAAACCGGAAUGAAAGCAGUGGGUUGUAUAUAUCUUCCUGGAUAACAGUGGACUUCAUUCUUUGUUGCCUCCUUAGUUGCAUGGAACAAGUACAAUGACAUCAUGUGACAAGCAGGCCCCAGUCCUUUGGCUAUUUGUGAUCUAAGAUUCAUUCAGAUCUCAGAGCUCAGUGGUAUGAUCUUUUCUUAAAAGCUUCAUAAUAAUGACCAGAAGCUACACUAAAGACGUUGAAAAGCAUUUUGAAGCUGACUUGAAUUGAUGAAGGCCAGUGAGUUAUGAAGAAACCAUUCUUCUAUUGGAGAAUACUCACAAUGCUUGCUGAAAAUACGAUAAUUUUUAGCAGCACUGUUUGCUAUAUGUUUAGUUUAUGCACUAUUUUGUUAGAAACUAGUGACCUCACCUCUCAGAUGCAGUUAGUAGAAACUUCCUAUAGCAUGUUAUUUAAACAAUAAAUCAGCAGUGCUCUAUAUAUUUAUUAUUCAUUCUGCUCCUAGUUAGUCUUAUUUCCCUUGAUGCAAUAAUAGACCGUAAGUUGUACAACUCUGAGAAAUUCUUUUUGAUGGAAAAAAAAAUUCACAGCAUUUGUGAAUGGGGCAGUAGCUUUGGAUUGGUGGAUUCAGACUCCAUUAAUGAUAAUCUCUUGGGGCACAGUUACCUUCAGUUGUCCAUACAGCAGUUUCGGCAGAGGAACGUGCUUUUGUGUUUGCAAUGCUGGAAGCCAUUUACACCGUCUGUAGUCCAUCUAAUAUAUGUAUACAUGUCUCUGUUUUCCAGACCUCCGAAGUAGCUGAGCAGCUGCUCGACCUGGAGGACAGCAGCUGGCAGUGAGAGGCAGGCAGAGAGGUGACCUAGAAGAGUAUUUGGUGAGAAGAGGAGAAGCACAACCCAUGGCACAGCCCAGCAGCAGUUUGAAUGCACCAGCACUGAGUGAGCAGAAAUGACGCUGCAUCUGUCUGCAGGGUUUGCUCACCUCGAGCUAGGAUGACUUAGCAGAACAGCCCUGCAUCCCUGCAGCACCUCAGCUCCAGCCACCAACAUCCUUGCUGACUGCCUGAAAGAGCCUUGAUUUGUCCCAUGGUCAAACCCCAAGCCUGUGCUGAGCUGUUACAGAAAUGGGCACCACUUGGGGCUCAGUCCUGAUCCCUCUGCAAUCUAAGCAUUCACACUCCUUGGGAACAGCAGGAGCAAGAUCUUUCCCUGACAAAUUUCCCAGAUCUCACUGAGAAAGUGGGCAAAGGAAAAAAUAACACAUUUUUUAAAGACUUGUAGUGCACCAAAUGUGAUAUUUUUUUGACAGAAAGCUGUCUGUUCAGUACUGCUUGCCCUCCAUGCCACUCUUCCAGAGAGCAGCAAUUAAUUAUUCAUUCUUUUCUCCCUUUAAAGAAACAGUAGGCAAGAUGCUGAGCUUAUCAAAGUCAGCGGCAGCUCAGGGUUCUCAUGGGAGAAGCAGUGCUUGCUGCGGAUCACGCCUAACAGAGCACGCCUGAGCGUGUUAGCACAGCACCAGCUCAGGGCUGAAGUUCAUGCGAGGAGACUGGUUGAGGUCAUCAGCUGAGGAGCCACGAGUGUAACGGCGGGGCUGGAGCACACGGCUAAGCGGCAGGGCUGGCUGCUGGCUUUUACAAAUGCACUGAUUUUUCUCAUUUUGCUUCCAGAGUUUUCCUGCAAAGCUAGCACGAACACUACAGAAACUAGGCAGUCACUAAAUAUGUCCGAUCUUCCAUGUUGCCAACACAGCAACAACGGAAACUGGGGGGAAUCGGUGUUUUUAGGAGGCUCCUGGCUUUUCCUUUUCUUCCUAAGUGUGUAGAAAGAAAACAAAGGUAGGCAUAGCCUCCACCUUUCUAGAAUGAGCAUGGAGACCAUUAGCAAGGCUCUCAAGCCUGACAGCUGGCACUUGGUCACAGACAUAAGUGUGGUGGCAUGGUUGAACUUCACAAAUUUUGCUAACGCAAUGGUGCUGUGGAUAUUGUGAACCACGUGUUUUUACCAGGACGCACAAUUGUACAUCUCACUCCCUUUGAAAAUCAUCCUUUCAAACAUACAAUAGAAAAGCAAUCUGUUUUGUUUGAGGUCUCUUAUUCCUCCACCCAUGCAAAGCUCAAUCUCGCCCUAUGGACACUGCAGUCACUGUUAUUAUGGCAGUGCAGAGGCUCUGGAUAGAAUCAGUCCUUGGCACCUUGAGGGAUAAACAAACACAGAACUGAAGUGGUCUCAGCUCCAGAGGACUCACUUUCUAUUGUUUUACUCCACAGCAAUGAGAAGUGAUUAAAUUACAAACUUCAUUCUAGAAAAAUGGCAGUAAAAUCUUCACGCUAUGCCAUAACAUCAAAAAUUCUCAGCCAAACACUGCUGGAGAAACUAUUUAGAAGUACUUCUGAAUCCUGGAAUAUAUUUACUGGAAAUAGUUCACUCUUCUUCCUGUAAAAGCCAGAUGCAUUAAUUAACAUGAACUCUAUUUGCCCAAGCUGAGCCUCUGGGCACAGUAAUGAAGCAGAGAAAAUUUGGUUUGAGAGGCAAAGAAAACACUCUCUACUUACUCAAUUUAAAAGAAAAGGAAAUCCAGCUGCUCAGAUGUCUGUGGACCUUGAUGUGUGGGCACUGGUGAUCCAGUUUAAUGUUCACAUCACUACUCACUGCAUGCCACAGUCCACAGCCACCCCUUAAUUGGCCGUAGAGGGUUAUUUCAGCUGCACAUUGUGCCAUGGACUCAGCCUGUAUGUGCCAUGGACUCAGCUCAGAGGUUACUCACACAAAGUUUAUUGGCUCAGGUGCUGCACAAACAAAGUUAAGCAGUGUCAGAUCAGAUCUAGAAGCAGUUUAUCCAUUUUUAUGUUAUCUGGAACAUAAUAAUAUAAAAUAAACUCUACUGACCCAAGCUAGUGUUGUUCACUGGACCCCGGGAAGAUUCAGAAGUAUGGCACAGGCACCUUUACUCAUGGAGCCCCGUUAAACCCAGCAAGCUUUCGCUCAGGAAGGUCUGUCCUGAUCCAAGCUGGUUCUAGGGAGUUGCACUCAAAUAUCCAUGCACAAUACUUAAUUCAUGAAAAAUAUUGAGCAAUGGUGAAACAAAGCAGAGAAACCUGAGUGGCUCUUGAUGGAGAGAGCCUCAGGACUCAGCCAAAGCAGAGGAACUGUCAUGGAUCCACAGCAACUAUGCAGAAGCAGUCAAGUAUCUCAAUGCUUCAGAAGCUUCAAAGGAUCCUGUGGCAUUUGUCCACCUGUGCGACAGCAUCUUCAAGUUAACUCAGCUUCAUGUUAUUCUGAACAGGGAAGUGAAUGAUUGAACUUCUUUUACUCUUUGAAGAGCAAGCAAAAGCCUCAGCACUGCUUAUCAUUUUUUAUUUCCUGACAUAUACUGUAUGAGCUAAAUAAAACCAUAAUCAUAACCUGAAGUGAGGUUAGCCUCACAAAACUGAAAUUCACUUCUUCCAAAAACCAAGGCAAGAGGUCUUGCAGCACAUCUGGAAGGGCAGGAAUCUACCCCCAGGAGAAAUACGUGCAUCUCCUCCCAGAGAUAAGAUCCAAUGAUGAGAUAGAGCUCUUAGGAAAGUAUAAAGAAAAACUGGCUGCUGUAAUACACACUUUGAACCACAAAAUCUAAUAAGUUCUUGAAGGACAGCCAUCCUAAGAUAAAAUUCUUGUUGACCCAGGUCUUGCAGACAGACAAACAUCUCUUGCUAAGCUGGAAUUUAGGAAAGAGCUGCUAUACCAUGAACUGAACAGCAACUUCAGUAGACAGACCACCAAGCAGUAUUUUAAUAGAAUAUUAGUUUCUGUAUAUAUACAUAAAUAUAUCUUACAUAUAUAAUUAUAUAUAUUGUAUGUACAGAGAUCCAAGAAUCUGAGUAUCAAACUACAUAUAAUCUAGUGUGGCUGCCCUCCGAAAAGCUCUGCCAUUUCCCAUAAGUAGAAUCUUGCACUGGAUUUAACCUUAUCCUAUAGCACAUCUUAUUUUCUUACACAGUACGGUCAGUUAUUUAUACAGCCUGCAUAACGCAAAAUUUUUAAAGAUUAUUUUGACUUACAAGUUAAUUAGGCUUCUGCACAAGUGUUUGGAUAAAUUACAGGAGAGAAAUACUAGUGCUUGCUUCACACUGAAUAUGAUUUAAAGUGAUGUGUCAGGAUUUUCUUUUAUUUGCUUUAUGCAAAAUAAUCCACUGUUCCAUGAUUCCUUGUGAUUAGGAUACUAUUUUGCAAGACUAUUGAUGGAUGCCGUUUAGCAAUGAGAAUAAAAUUCUCAAGCCUGCUGUAAUCUACUUAGAUGGUACUAACACCUGAGCCAGUUGUGCACUGAUCAUCUCUGGAGCUUCAUCCAUGGUGAAAGAAUGCCAUUAACUAUACAGAGGAAGUACUGAGGUGCUGCAGAAAGGUGUAGGGUAGGAAGCUUUAGGAAGGACAAGAGAAAAUUUAGGAGACUUAGUCCUGAUGAAAAGUCUCCAGGUUCCACUCUGUUCUCUUCAUAGUUUCACAAUGAAGGGUGCACUGAGCUGGGGGAAGACAUCUGCUGCCAACUGUUAAAAGCUUCAACACCACCACGAGCACUGGCUGCAGCAACCUGUGCAAACCUAAAGCACAAAGAAGACCAGCUAUAUCUACAUAUUUAAACAGAAAUUAUCAGUUUUAAAAUAUAAUGCUGGCAUCUAAUUCAUAGAGUCGUAGAAUUCCAAGGUUGGAAAAGACCUCUGGUCCGACUAUCCACCUACCACCAAUAUAAGCCCACAAAACCAUGUCUUAAUACAUCUAAAUGUUCCUCCAGGGAGAGUGGCUCCACCACCUCACUGGGCAGCCUGUUCCAGCACUUGACUCUCUUUGUGAGAAUAAAUUGUUCCUAAUAUACAACCUGAUGCAACCUGAGGCAAUUACAUCCCAUCCUAUGUUACCUGGGAGAAGAGACCAAGACACCCCUGGCCCCUCCUUUCAGGUGGUUGUGGAGAGUGAUAAGGUUUCACCUGAGCGUCUUCUCUAGACGCUGAACAAUCCCAGAUUCACCAAUAUGCUUUGGAAUUAUCACCAAGAUAAACAGAGAAUGAGGGAUUGGUGCAGGCUGAGAACUAAUUAUCAAAAGAAUCAUAGAAUCAUAGAAUCCUUAGAGUUGAAAAAGACCUUUGAAGGCCAACCCUCCUGCAAUGAUCAGGCACAUGCACAGCCAGAUCAGGUUGACCAUAGCCUUAUCCAGCCUUGCCUUGAAAGUCAGGGCAUCCAUCACAUCUCUGGGCAACCUGUUCCAAUGCCUCCUCACCUUCACUGUAAAUGACAUUUUCCUUAUACGCAACCUACACCUACCCUCUUUAAGCUUGAAGCCAUUUCCCCUUGUUCUAUCACCACAGACUCUGCAAAAGAGUCUGUCCUCUUCUUUCCUGUAGCUCCUCUUUAGAUACUCAAAGGCCACUCUCAGGUCUUCUCCAGGCUGAACAGCCUCAGCUCUCUCAGCCUGUCCUCAUAGGAGAGAUGUUCCAUUCCUGGGAUCAUUUCUAUGAAACCUCUUCUGGAUGCACUCCAACAGGUCCAUGUCUCUGCUGUCCUGAGGACAGCACAUCUGGACACAGUACUCCAGAUACAGCUUUAGAUUUGCUCACAUGAGCUAAAUUAAACCAUUCUUCAAGUUCAGGCACAUUGUAAGAUCCAAGAAAGAGCCAGCAGGAGGAGGGGGAAGAUGCUGACAAUUAAAAAUUCUGUCUGAGCAAAUCACCAUUAAUUAUGCUAUUGAAGGCUUGAAGAUUUAUCGGCAAAACUCUGUAGUGAGAAAUGUCAGUUUUUAAAAAACAACAAGCCCUGUGGUAUGUCUCUGACUCUUCUAAUUUCUUGGAACACUUCAGAUAAAAGACGGAUCUGAUCAAAUUUAUCUAUUUUUCUUUUCAGUGAUCUGACUUACAUUAAAAUA